GGAGAGUUAAGGUAAAGUCAGGUCAAACCUUUAAACCUGUGAGCAGCUCUGUUAGUGACAGGCCUUCACAUUAAGCUGAGUCUCUGAUGAACGUACAGUAAGACUCAAGUUGAGCAUCAUAAGGUGAAACCAGCAGCAAGUGAAACUGAGUUUUCAUCCUCCACCAGUGAAGCGUCACCUCCCAGGAUGCACCUGCAAACCUUCUCUCCUUAAUUAGAGCUUCAUGCAAAUCAAGACGUCAUGUGACACUUGUCACAUUUUAGUUAAACUAGAACCAUCAGCCAACUUCCGCCUGCGCCGUUGCCAAGCGUUACGUUGGUUCAUUUAUUUUUGUUUCCAACCCUGCAGGUUUCAAUGAUUACCAUCCUGUGGCGCUGACAUCAGUGGUGAUGAAGAGCUUCCAGAAACUGAUAAAAGGUCUGAUUUGUGUCUCAUUACCUAAAUUCAUUCAUCCCCUACAAUUCGCCUUGAACAUGUGAUGCCGUCUCUCAUGUCCUUUAUUUCCACAUUGGAAUUUCAGGAAAGGGAAUUAUGCUACACUUCUUUUUAUAGGCUCCAGUUCAACUUUUAUAACUAAGGUCCCUUCAUGACUCAUCAAAACGUUCAGGGAACUUUUCUUUAGUCUGUCUUAUUUAUCACUGUGAUUUACAACUCCAUCAGUUAUAAUUGUUUAGCUCACUUUGGUGGCCUGGUAGCGCAGU